AUGCUUGUUUCAGCAGCACAUAUACUAAAAUUGAAAGGGUACAGAGAUUAGUGAUCCCUGAGCAAGGAUGACCCACAAAUUCAUGAAACAAUGGCUUUGAGU